AUUGAACGCUGGCGGCAUGCCUAACACAUGCAAGUCGAGCGGAUGAAGGGAGCUUUCUCCUGUCUUCUGCUGCCGACGGGUGAGUAAUUCCUAGGAAUCUGCCUGAUCUUUAGGGCUAACGUCCGUUCACGGACGCUUAUCCCGCAUCCGUCCUUAGUUUGAACGUCGUGGUUCUUCGGACCUCACCCUUUCAGCUGACCCUAGUGCGGAUUAGCUCGUUGGUUGGGUAAAGUACUACCAAGGCGACGAUCCGUAACUGGUCUGAGAGGAUGAUCAGUCAAACUGGAACUGAGACACGGUCCAGAGUCCUACGGGAGGCAGCAGUGGGGAAUAUUGGACAAUGGGCGAAAGCCUGAUCCAGCAAUGCCGCGUGUGUGAAGAAGGUCUUCGGAUUGUAAAGAACUUUAAGUUGGGAGGAAGGGCAGUAAGUUAAUACCUUGCUGUUUUGACGUUACCAACAGAAUAAGCACCGGCUAACUUCGUG
rnacentral:rRNA from 1 species